rnacentral:rRNA from 1 species
AUGUUCAUGAUGCCCCGAGGAGCCCAAUGCCUUGUGCGAAGGACCAAUACCAAGGUCACAUCACCACUAGGCCUCAUUGUCAAAGCUGAGAAGGUUGUGAUUUCACACUGUCACACGGAACGACUUUAUGGAAACCAAGACAUUGCCUCCAAGAAAGAAACAACGCAAUACAACGCCGCUGCCCAAUCUAGCGGGCAAAACCUAGGGUUUCCUCCAGAGCUUAUAGAGGGAAGAAACACGAUCAAAGGCCAUGCCAUACCGUCGGGAAGGGAUUUUGUCUUGGCCAUGAUUGUUGAUCCAUGA